UUAAUGUUGAUAAAUGCAAAGCAAUGCACGUUGGAAAGCAGAAUCCGAACUCUACAUACAAAAUGAUGGGAUCUAAAUUAGCUGUUACCACUCAAGAAAGAGAUCUUGGAGUCAUUGCCAGAAGCUGGGAAUGAGAGACAGGGGAUGGAUCACUUGAUGAUUCCCUGUUCUGUUCAUUCCCUGUGGGGCACCUGGCGUUGGCCACUGUUGGAACACAGGAUACUGGACUAGACGGACCUUCGGUCUGACCCAGAAUGGCUGGUCUUAUUUUCUUAUGGGUCUAGGCUGUGAGGUGCUAGCAGCAGAGCUCUGGAUUUGCCCUUGUCCCCUGUAGCGCACCUCACAAUAACCAGCCCUGCUCCCAGGGCGCUCUGACACCCAUCAGACUGGAGUCUCCUCCCCUCUGCAGGGGCAGGAUGUGGGAAGGGGGGUGACUUCGUUUCCCUUCCAAACCCGGCAGCCGCGGCUUGGAGGCUACAAUAGACAGUAGCAGCCGCGCCUUGUGUUUGUGCACUUAAGGGCUAAACCCUCCUUAUCCUGCCAGUGAGAAUUUACCCUGCAACUCAGCUAGCAAUGCCAAUGUGGGUACAGUUUGUGUUCAUUUUAGCAGCUUGGAAAGGUACCCGGUCCCAGAUGCAGCUGGUGGAGUCCGGGGGUGGUGUUAGAAAUGAAGGGGAGUCCAUCCGGCUCUCCUGUAAAGGCUCCGGCUUCAUCUUCAGAAACUACGACAUGUUCUGGUACCGGCAGAGUCCCGGGGAAAGCCCGGAGUUUGUCUCACGCAUUUACACUGACGGGACAGGCCCACGUUACGCAGCUCGGGUUCAAGGGCGAUUCACCAUCUCCAGGGACAACGCCAGGAGCGAGCUGUAUCUGGGAAUGAGCCGCCUGAGACAGGAGGACACCGCCCGGUAUCACUGCGCUGCUAGAGAGGCACAGUGCAGAGAAGCCGGUGUGAGCUCGGACAAAAACCUCCAGUCCCCGGGCUUAACGGGUUAAAGUCAGCUUCCUUGUGGGGCGGAGGGCAGAAACCCGGCGCGCUCAGUGCUGGGAGAGAAGGGAAACUGAGUCACGACAGGGGGCACCAGGGAGGAGUGAAUUCCGGGGGAUGUGUGGGAGGGUGGGGAACACGGAUACCCCUACCUCAGCGCUUACAUUAGGCUGACCCAGAUGCCACGGAGGGAGUGUGGCGUGGGUCUCCCUGCUGCUCUGCCGUGUAGCCUGCAGACUUACGAGAGGCAGCGAGAGGAGGAAGGACAGACAGACACACAGCAGCAGCUCCCUUCUCCGCCAGCGCAUUGCUCGGGGUGUGCAAAGGAGAAGGUCUCCUCAGCGCCUCAUUCCAGCUCCCUUCCCCCGGGCGCUCCGGCGCUCUUAUAGCUACACGUCUGUAAAGCAGGAACCUCAGCCAGGGGCUUAGGCGGCCACCCUGAGCGUUCACAGCUCUGCAGGGCCAGAGGCGGAGGCAAGGUUAUUCUUUACGGCGGAAC